UUUUUUGUUUAUGGGUAGGACCAGUCUUAUUAGUGUGUUCAUCUACGGGUUUUGGUCAUAAAUAUAUAAAUACUUAAAUUAUUUCCAAAUUUUCCAAUUUACAAUACUGUUUACAAUCGAAACAAAAAAUUUGCAAACAAUAAAAAUGGCAAAGGAAACGAUGAUUGUGUUUGUUUACGACACAGAAUAUUGCAAGGAUGAGACAAAUGAUCCAAUAAAUGCCGUCUUGUAUUUUUAUCCCAGUUGGGUGUCAGAUAUACAAAAGCUCGCCCUUUGUGGACAGCUCAUGGGAACUUCACAAUUUUUAAAACAUUGUUUUUUUAGACCCAAAAUUAUUUCUUUGCAAAAUGGAAAGUUUGUUUUCAAGGAAUUUGGACGUUUUCUUUUGGCUAUUGGAACAGAUCGCAAUAUAGCAGAUCAUCUGCUGGAGCAUCGUGCUAAACUUCUUUCUACUUUAAUAGAAUUUUUGCAUCGUGAUUUGCAAACUAUAUACGACCAGUUUCCGCCAGCUAAAAAUCAUAGAAAUGUUUCAGAAAAGUUAUAUCACAUAUUUGGAACGUUUCUUCCAAUUUUGCAAUACAAUGGAAAUAUUUUUCAAAAUGUACCAAAACUGAGGAUACCAAAGAUUGCUAGCAAUAUAUAUCUUGAUGCAGUCCAUACACUGCAAAAUUGCCAACAAACAAAAGGUGUCUUGGGUGGAGCCAUCUUAUAUCACAACAAAAUUGUUGCCUCUCAACUUUCUGAUAAUGUUACAAAAAAUAUUGUUUUCACCGACCCUCAUCAGAUUAAAUCUACAGCUGAAAUUAUAAGUGUUCACUUUCACGUUCCUGUUGGAGUCCAAAUGAUAUUCGUUUACAUUCCAGUUGAUCAUUUCAAAGAGCUUUUUGCAGACGCCUAUCGUUCGCAAACACUACAAACGCAGCAUCUCUCCAACAAUGCUCUUCAAAGCCAUUUUCAAAAACGAAAAAUGAAAAGAGAUCGCAGUAUGAUUUUCUCAAACAUACCAGAAGAACAUACCAAUGACCAAAGGGAGCAUAUUGAACCAUGUGCAUUGAAGAUCAAUAAAAUCCCUUUAAGACCAACUAAUUUGCAGCUAAAAAAAAACGUAUCGAAAGAUCUAGUUGAUCUGGGAUUAUGUGAUGAAAAAAAUAAGUAUCCUGAAUAUGUAGGUCGCACAAGUGUUUGCUCAACACCAAUGACGGAGAACAAGGUUUUACAUGGCAAUGGAAUCAUGUCGAUAUGUGCAAAUCCAAUUGAAAAUUUGAACGCAUCUCAACCGAUACGUAAGUCAUUUCGGAUAGAUUUUGAUAAAAUGUUUACCAAAUUUGCCAGCAAUUCUGGAAAGAUGGAACGCAGAAACUCAUUUACAGACCUUCAGGAUUCAGUUACGAAAAUUUCAAAUAAGUUUUCCUUAAAGAAAACAUUAAGUUUUUAUAAAAUAGAUUUGAUUAGCCCCGAUAUUGCCAAAAUGCCAAAGGCAACCAGCGACCCCAUGCAUCCAGUUUUUCCUAGCAAUGAAAAUAUGAAAGACUCUAACAUAAGUUCUGAACUGAUUGAAAAUACGCUAAAAUGCCAUACAAAUUCAACUGAUGUUAAACAAGAUUUAGAAACCAUGAAAAUUGCCUACGCUGCUAAUAUCGAUAAUGAUGGAAUCGUUAAAAAACAAGAACAAAAAUUUCCACUUGAUAAAAAAUCUUUAAGUCUUCCUUUAAAAAAACACAAUGAUAUGCAGUUGGAAAGUUCAACUUUCAGUAGUAUUCCUUUUGAAAGGAAGAGAUUGUCAGGCAUACAAUUGACACCUUUAAUGGCUAAGCUGUCAGUACUAGCUCUCACUGAAGAAAGGCACGUAGGAUAUAAUUUUGGUGAAAGUUUACAUGAUCUCAAUUAUGCAACAUCUUCAGAUGAGAAAUUGGGAAGCAAAUUGAGUUUUGCAAGUGAAUUACCAAUAAAUAUAAUGGCAAAUGUAAAUGGAUUCCAAAAGGUUGAAUUAUACAUUUGUGGUCAACGAAAUAUGACCAUGUUUCUGCUACUAGAGCAUGGUUCCGUACAAAAGCAGGAAAUAGUUCAAACCAUGUUUGAUAAAUGUGUUGCAAAAUUGGGAAAGAUGGAGUCGCAGCUGUUUCAAACAUUAAAUGUUAACAUGAUGGAAGGUGCAAGUGAUUCCAUCUACAGCCUGAUAUGUGUAGAUUCAAAAUGGGAUACCCUUUUGAACCAUGGUCCCUGGACACCUCAAGAUCAAUCAUUUCUGGAACAUAUGCGUACAGAUCUUUGCAAGGGCAAACUUAUCACAGAUAUAUUUUUAAGGUCAACUAUCCCUCUACGUGUGCGCACAAGUAUACGGAUACAGACAAAAGGUAUGUGAAUGUAUGUAAUUUCUGUUUUGUUUUGAUUCUUCUCAUUCGUCUUUUUUUUUUUUUUUUUGAAUAACCCGAUGGCUUUGACCUAUUUUCCUUUUUGUUUCAAUUUAAUUUUGUUUCUUUGAAACGUGAGGACAUUGACCUCUGAUUUUAAUUCCAUGUGUGUCAGCUGAUUGACUAUUUGAAAUUCAAUUUUUUGUUUUUAAAUACCUACUUUUAAUUUCUAUGAAUUAAUUUUGCAAACAAAAUAUUUUUCAAUGCGGGGAGGAUAUUUAUGUAUGUAUAUAAGUUAUCGAAGUUGUAAUAACUCGAUUUAAAAAAAACACAACUGAUUCGGUUGACUAACAAAGAGUGAGUUUAUUUAUUAUUUUACCUUCUAUUUAUAACAUAUCAUUCUUUUACAAUAUUUCCAAGUAUGCAAAAUUAACAAAUAAUUCUUUAACAAUGUUCUUUAGUUUCCAAGAAUGCAAAAUUAACAAAUAAUUCUUUAACAAUGUUUUUAAGUUUCCAAGAAUGCAAAAUUAACAAACAGAUGAAUUAAUAAAAUGUUGAAUAAUCUAAAUGUUUGAAUUUCUAGGAAAUUGGAAAGUUAACAAAAUAAAAUAUGAUUUUUAUAAAUGCUGAUUUGGCAAAGGUGGGUGUUUGUUUAUUAGUAGCGGAAAUUGGAUGGGAAUGUGAAUGGGAAUGAGAAUGGGAAUGUGUCGUGUUAACUCCCCCUUUCUUAAGUAUCUGCGUCUCGUAGAUUAGAUUUUUAGAGUAAUUUGUUCUAUUGAAUUAAUUUGGGAGUUUGGGUCAACUACUGGGAUGUUUAAUUUUAAAGGUUCAAAUGAGGAAAGUUGGAGUUUUUUCUUGUUUUUUGACUGUUUUUUCAGAAAGAUGAACAGAAUUAAGUUCAUUGUUGCCCCUAUGAGCAGAAUAGUUAGGUUUGAAGUUAGGAAAAGAUUACUAUUUAAAGAAAUAAAGGAAAGUGUUUCUACGUUGUCUAGAUGAAGUUUGUGUAGGUAUUGUAGGUCGAGUUUUAUUUCCCCUUCGGUGAGGUUAUUUUGAAGUAAGGGAGGUAGUAUAUGAUAUGUUUUACUCUCCCAGUUGCUUUACUUUAUGUUAUCGAUUUCGAUAGAUUCGUUGAAAAAAUUUAUAAGGAAUCAACCGUUCAGGUUACGGAAAUGUCUGCCGUAUGUUAUAUUACCGACAUAAUUUGUAAGAAAUAAAGUGCUUUCAUUGAUGAGUUCUAUUAUUGGCCUAUUUUCAUAACUAAACGAUUUUGUCCCAAUCCGUCGCAUCGGGAUUAACUGCUAGCCACUUCCAAGCGGAACCUAUCCAGUUGAUUGCCCGUUUUUCUCUGUUUUGGGUCUUAUCUUGGAGUUGCUCUAAUAGGCUUUCUAUCUUUGCUUUCUGCAGUUCCAGCUGCGGUAGGUAAAGGCUGUUUUUAGGAAUAUAAUGGUUGAUGUCCGUAUUAAUUUUACUAAUAACUUCUUCGAACAUUGUAAGAUUAAUAAAAUGAAUGAUUUUAUAGUUUCCUGUGGUCAUUUUUCCAUUUCCUUGUUUGAUUGCGACGAGUGGACUUUGGUAUUCGUAGAUAUUGACUAUUGCUCCCACACAGAGGAUGCAAUUUAAUCUGUAAUAGAAGGUAUGUUUUUAAGGUGCGAUUUAUGAAUUCGUUUUCCGUUGGUUGUUGUUAUUGUUACUUUAUUAUCUAAUCCUACAGUUUCUUUAUGGUAAACUGGUUUAUCUUUGCUUUUUAUUUGUUUGUCUCUUUUAAAGACAGUUUCACCAUGUUUAUAGUUUUCUGGUGGUGACCUUUUUUUGUUAUGCCUAUUAAGUUGGUUUUUUUGGUUACGAAUGAUUUCGUAUUUAAGAUCUGUAUGAACUAUAUUUUUAAAAUCAAGUAGGUUCUCGUAAUUAAUUCUUUGUGACCGUCCGAAAAAAAUAUCGGCAGGCUUUCUCUUGGUUACCGAAUGGAUUGAGUUAUUGUAUCUAUCUGUAGCAAUGUUAACAAUUUCCUUAACAGUUAAGUCUGGAAAUUCUUGUUAAAGACAUCUUAUUAUUUCAAUAAUAGUUGAGUGUACUCUUUCUAUUGUUCCGUUAACUUCGCUUUUUUGUGGAGGGGCUAGGUAAACGUUUAUGCCAAGACCUUCAAUAUAAUUUAGAACUAUUGGACUUAUAAAACUGCUUUCAUUGUCUGUUACUAAAAUCUUAGGAGCAGUGAAGAAAUGAAUCAAUUUUAUUAUUCUAUUCCGGAUGUGUAAAGCGGAUUUGUUUUUGAUAUGGAAAAAUUUCGUAAAUUUGGAAAAUUUAUCUACACAGGUUAUGAAUUUUUCUUUUUUAAAUUCUAUGAUGUCCAUGUGUAGAAUUUCGGUUGGAUACGAUGGAAUAGGGGUGGGCUGAAGAUGAGGUUUAGGGGGGUGACGAUCGUAUUUGUUCGAGCGACAAACGUUACAGGAAUUAACGAAAUUUUUAAUUAAUUUAGUCAUUUGAGGGAAGUAAUAUUUUUCAAGAAUUUGGUUUUAGCCCAGGGAAAUUAGUAAUUUAAAUCGCAUUUUUCGCGGGACAAAAUUUAUUUCAUGGAAUGUGUUCGGGUGGUUGCCCUUAUCAUAAAAGUCAAUUUGUUGGGAAAAUUGGAGGUUGGGAACAGCCGCCAUCUUGGAAAAGAGAUUGGUAUCGUUUUUAUUGAAUAGCUCCAUUGUUAUUCAUUUUAACAAAAACUGUCAAAGGUAAGACUUAUCAACAAUAAAAUUAUCUAAAAAAUGAUAUACAAAACAAUUCCGUGAGUUGAUUAAAUAAAAUUUUACAGUUGGUCAAAGUGCGGGUUUGUAUCGCAAGGUUGGGACAAAAUGACAUUUGUUCAUAUAUCUGACGAACUUUUGAUUUGUUUGGAUAAUUCUUCAAGAAUGAAUUAUAGUACUUUUAAUUACCUAUAAAAUGAGCCCACAAUCGUUAUUGUAACCAUCGUAUUGUAGAAGUAAUCCAACUCCGGAACUCUCCAUGUACUAGUCAAAAGUGAGAAAAAAGCUAGUUUUUUGCUAGUAUGCCGAGAAAAUUUUGGGAGUAGAUGUUUAACCAAAAUACAAGUACGCAGUUUUGCAGCCAUACGCGUGUUAAUGUCGAUUUCAAAGGUCUGACAACUCUAAUUUUGUGCUUUAUACGGUUUUUGGGGGGUUAAAUGACUUAAGUUUUCCACUUAAUGUGAAUGGGCUAAAUUUAUACUUUUUGAAAUUAUAAAUAUACAAGCUGAUGCUCUAUCAUUUUUCCUAAAUCUAGACACCCCAAUCUUGAGGAUGUGACCAAUAGAACUCAAGAUAUAAGCCGUUUAUACGAUUAUGUUUUAGAGGCUUUUUUGUUUCGAUUUUUGUUAGUUUAUUUGAAUUGAAAAGCCUGAUAUGGUUAGUUAAAAAAGCUUAUAUCGUGAGUUCUAUUAACCCCAUAGCAAAGAUUGAGGUGUCCAGAUUUAGGAAAAAUAAAAGAACACCAGCUUGUAUAUUUAUAAUUUCAAAUAGUAUAAAUUUAGCCCAUUCACGUUUAUUGGAAAACUAACGUUAUUUAACCCCCCAAAAACCGUGUAAAGCACAAAAUUAGAGUUGUCAGACCUUUGAAAUCGACAUUAACACGCGUAUGGCUGCAAAACUGCGUACUUGUAUUUUGGUUAAACAUCUACUCCCAAAAUUUUCUCGGCAUACUAGCAAAAAACUAGCUUUUUUCUCACUUUUGACUAGUACAUGGAGAGUUUCGGAGUUGGAUUACUUCUACAAUACGAUGGUUACAAUAACGAUUGUGGGCUCAUUUUAUAUGUAAUUAUAAGUACUAUAAUUCAUUCUUGAAGAAUUAUCCAAACAAAUCAAAAGUUCGUCAGAUAUAUGAACAAAUGUCAUUUUGUCCCAACCUUGCGAUACAAACCCGCACUUUGACCAACUGUAAAAUUUUAUUUAAUCAAUUCACGGAAUUGUUUUGUGUAUCAUUUUUUAGAUAAUUUUAUUGUUGAUAAGUCUUACCUUUGACAGUUUUUGUUAAAAUGAAUAACAAUGGAGCUAUUCAAUAAAAACGAUACCAAUCUCUUUUCCAAUAUGGCGGCUGUUCCCAACCUCCAAAUUUCCCAACAAAUUGACUUUUAUGAUAAGGGCAACCACCCGAACACAUUCCAUGGAAAAAAUUUUGUCCCGCGAAAAAUGCGAUUUCAUGCCCAUAUUUUGACUAAUUUCCCUGAGCUAUUUUUAUUUUCGAUAUAAUUUCUAUGAGCUCGUUUAUGUUCUUCUUGUAUUAUGUUAAAUUUAUUUUCUUCCUUAUUUAUAUCUGUGACUAUUCUUUGUGUAAUUCUUAUUUUAUAUUGGCUAAAUGAGGCUUUAUAAAUUUCUUGUAAAAGUGGAAUGAAUUUUUCUGGAAUUUUGAUACCAUUAAGUAUAUUAGGAUUUAAUUUUUCCUUUAGGAAUUUUGUAAGAGUUUCUUCGUCAUAAGAGUGCAGCUUGAUAUAAUGUCUUUGUUAUUUUGGGUGAGGUUCUUCGUAGCAUGUCAUUUCAUUGCCUUCGGAAAAGAUAAGUUGGUUUCUAAAAACGUUAAUAGGUGCUUCGCAGUGCGGUAUAAGAUUACUACUAUCUUCUUCAGCACUGUGUUGAGUUCCAGAGGAUGAAGUUAUAAUAUUAAGCACGGGGAGUCGCGACAGUGCGUCUGCGACGACAUUUGAUCGUCCAGGCUUAUAGACAAGAAUACCACCAUACUCCUCUAUUCUUGACUUCCAUCUUUUUAGUUUUGCGUUAGUAUUGCGAUUACUCAGCGCGAACGUUAGCGGCUGAUGGUCUGUAAAGAUUUUUAUGUUUUUGGCUCCGUAAAGAUAUGUUCUUAAUUUAUCGAGGGACCAUAUUAUCGCUAAUCGAUAGUUGAGUACCCCUCUUCUGUCUCGGUUAGAGAUCUAGAUAUAAAUGUAAUGGGUCUUUCUUUCCCGAUUUCGCCUUGCGAGAGGACGGCUCCGAUGGCGUAGUUGGAGGCAUCGGUUGUAAGAAUAAAAGGUUUCUCAAAAUUGGGGAAUAUAAGAAUAUCCGAAGAUAUAAGCAUAUCCUUGAGGCAUUUAAAUGCGUUUAACGCUUGAUCAUCAAGAUGGACUUCGACUUUUUUCGACUGAUUUGCUUUAAUUUGGGCAUUUUCGCCUCUUGUUAUAUUGGUUAAAGGUUUUGCUAAUUUAGCGUAAUCUUUAAUAAACUUCCUAUAGUAGGACGCGAGACCUAAAAAGCUUUUAAGUUCUUUAAGAUUUUUUGGGGGUGGAAUCUUUUGGAUUGCUGCUAUUUUUUCAGGAUCUGCCCGAAUUCCUUCUUGAUUGAUUAUAUAACCCAAGAAAUUAACUUGAGUUCUUAGGAACUUUGAUUUCUCUAAGUUCACUCUAAGAUUUGCCUUAUCAAGAUACGAUAAAACUUGCUCAAGAUUGUUCAAAUGAUCAGAUAUACUUUUGCCGAAGACGAUUAUAUCGUCUAUAUAGACAUAGCAUAUUUUGCCUAUAAGAGGUUUAAGAACGUCGUUGAUCAUGCGUUGGAAUAUAGCGGGUGCGUUUUUUAACCCGAAUGGCAGACGAGUAAACUCAUAUUUGCCAUUUGCCGUUGAAAAUGCAGUCUUUGCUAUGUCACUUUCUUUCAUCUUAAUCUGGUGAAAGCCAGACGUAAGAUCAAGGGUCGUGAAGUAUUUGCUUUCACCUAAACUUGCAAGAGUAUUUGUUAUGUCCGGAAUCGGAUAAGCAUCUGCAAUUGUUAUUGCGUUCAGUCGUUUGAAGUCAAUAACAAGCCUAUAUUGCCUUUCGCCUGCAGAGUUGGGUUUCUUUGGAACAAUCCAAAGUGGAGAAUUGAAAGGACUUUUAGAUGGUCUUAUAACACCAUCAGAAAGCAUUUUGCUGAUUUGAGCUUCGACUUCUGCUCUUAGGUUAGCGGGGUAAGGGUAUGAUUUUGUGUAUAUAGGUUCGGAUGAAGUAGUUCGUAUUUCAGCACGAACGCUGGUAUCUAUUGUACCACUGUCUGAGAUUGGUCCGAAAAGUUUUUCAUAUUUGCAUAAAAGGUUUUGAAUAUAAUUUUCAGGGUUUAUAUCAGUUUGAAUAUUAUUUACUUCUUUUGAUUGUUUUUCUUUGAGAUUAAUUUUAAUGUUUGGGGCUAAAAUGAGCAUAUUGUUUUUUCUGUCUAUUACAGCCUCUAAUUGUUUGAGGGUAUCAUCACCAAUAAUCCCGUCAAAUGAUUUGAGUCCUGGAAGGACAAAAAAGUCAAAAGAGGUACUAUUGCCGAUAGGUUUAAAAAAUUGGGCACUAAUUUUACGAUUUAUUUGUAGUUGUCCGGUAGCGGAUUGUAUUUUGAAUGGAGAAGUGACUGGUUUACAAUUGUAAGCAAUUCUUUCAGAUACAAAGUUCUUGUUAGCUCCAGUAUCUAUCAAGAAUUUUAAUACUUCACCAUCUCUAGUAACAUACUCUAGGUAUGGUACGCUAGAGAGGCUUCCGUUGUAAAAUUUAGCUCUGCUAAAUCGUCAUUAUUGCCAUCGUUAUCCCAAGAUUCUUGGUAUGCUUUGAAAUAUUCCUCGUUCAAUGGAUCCUCUUCGUCUUCUUCUAUAGUGUCCUGAUCUGCGAUAACGUUUGUUGCAAAGAGACGUUGUUGCUUCCUCGGAAGAUUAUCAGAUCCAUUAAAUCUUUUUGGCAUUAUAUUAUUUUCAGGUCGGUUCAUAUAGUUGAUUUGACGACUUUGAAUAGAUUUGUCCACGUCCAUAGGCUGUGGGGGUUUUGGAUUAGUUGGUCUAGGAGGGGGUGAGCUGUUCCAUGUUGGUCUUGGAGGAGGUGAGCUAUUCCAUAUUGGUUUUACAUAAUGCUGGUUGUUAUUCAUUUGGUUUAUAGGAGCAGUAAUAUUGUUGUUAAAAUUUUUCUUAUGUAUUGAAAAGUUUCUAAAGUUAAGGUUUUGAAAUUCUAAACAAGAGGUAUAAGCCUCUGGAAGGGUUUGAGGUUUCUGAAUCAUUAGCAUUUUUGAUACGUCACCAUUGAGACCUCGGACAAAAAUGUCUAAAGCUCUGUUCCUAUAAUUCUCUGUCAGGGCCGUAAUGGUCUCCUGAGAGUAAUCUUCAGUUUUGAUUUUGUUUAUAAGAAGAGACAAUUGGUGGUUGACCCGCGCAUAAAAUUCAUCGAUGGUUUUAUUCGCUUGGGUCAUUCUAUUAAGUUCGUGUUCUAAAGUUCUAGAAUCACGUUUGUCAGCGUAGUGCAGUGACAGACAUUUUUUGAUUGUCUGCCAAUCUUCGUCAAAUAUGUUAUAAGAUAUGAGGGCGGCAUCGGCCGGGCCUCUUACUUUUUGCCUAAUGUGUUGUAAUAUUGCCCUAUAGAUAGGUUUAUUCUUAACGAUUUGGUAAUCGUUUAGUAUGGACUCCACAUUGUGGAUCCAAGAAACGUACUGUACUGCAUUGCCAUCAAAAAUUUGAAGGUCUCUUACGCAGUCAGGUAAUUUUCUUAUAUCUAAAAGAUCCUGUUCAGUUUUGGGGAUUUGUGAAGUGGUAGUAUUGGAAGGAUUUUGAGGAGGUGUAAUCCUACUUUCGAGCUGGUGUACACGAUUGUUCACCAAUAUAAUUUGCUCGAUAUUUUGGUUUACAGCACUAACCAGCUGUUUAAUUUGUUCGGAUAAUUCUUCGAGUGUGACAGGCAUUUUGGAAAGGAACGAUAAAAAAUGGGUGGGAUUGGAUUUUUUGUAUUAAAUUGGUUAGGAUUUUUUGGAAAAAUUUUUUUGUUUUUACAGUAUUUUUAUAUGAUUAAGAUUUUUAUAAGAUUAACUUUUUCUUGGAAUUCAAUUGUAUAAAUAUAGUAGUCAAAUAAUAAUAAAAAUUAUAUAAAAAUAAAGGUAUUUAAUAAGUUUUCCUAUCAAAAUUUAUAUUUAAUAGCUAUGAUAAUUUAUUUUAAAUUUUGUUCUUUAAUUGUGUUGUUCUUACAGCAUAAUUUGCAUCAUUGGGGUUCCGGUUUUCUCCUUUUUGCGUCAGCUACUAGGGUGCGGUUUCUUCUGGGUAGUCCCGCGGUUUGAAUGCAACAAAGUUUUUUGUAUAGGUACACUGUGCUUUUCGCACUACACUACACUUUAUUGUGCGGUUCUUAUGUUUUACGCACUAGGUCUUGAAAUUUAAAAUCCGUUUAUUGAGUACGUGGUUCUUAUGUUACAACGUACUUUCACUUUGCUCGGUUUUUAUUUUACGCACUUGAUUGAGAGUUUUUAAUUCUUUAUAGUGCUUAGAUGAAUUCGAACUUUCACUUCACGCGGUUCUUAUGUAUCGCGGUGCUACUGUUCGGCUGUGUUUAAAUUUUACGCACUUAAUUUAGAGUUUUUAAUUCUUUGUAGUGCUUUACGUCAAACUUUCACUUUACGCGGUUCUUGUGUAACGCGGUGCUACUUGUUCGGUUGUGUUAAGCUUUUAUUUUUCUGCCGGGUACGCGGUUCUUAUGUUACGCGAUGUACUUAAUGCGGUUCUUAUGUAACGCACUUAGAAAUUUGCUCGGCUUUCUUAAGCUUUUGUGUUUUAAAUUUUUAAUUAAUUGUUUUGCCGGGUACGCGGUUCUUAUGUAACGCGAUGUACUUAAUGCGGUUCUUAUGUUACGCACUAAUAAGCUGCUCGGGCGCCAGUUAUCGAAGUUGUAAUAACUCGAUUUAAAAAAAAAACACAACUGAUUCGGUUGACUAACAAAGAGUGAGUUUAUUUAUUAUUUUACCUUCUAUUUAUAACAUAUCAUUCUUUUACAAUAUUUCCAAGUAUGCAAAAUUAACAAAUAAUUCUUUAACAAUGUUCUUUAGUUUCCAAGAAUGCAAAAUUAACAAAUAAUUCUUUAACAAUGUUUUUAAGUUUCCAAGAAUGCAAAAUUAACAAACAGAUGAAUUAAUAAAAUGUUGAAUAAUCUAAAUGUUUGAAUUUCUAGGAAAUUGGAAAGUUAACAAAAUAAAAUAUGAUUUUUAUAAAUGCUGAUUUGGCAAAGGUGGGUGUUUGUUUGUUAGUAGCGGAAAUUGGAUGGGAAUGUGAAUGGGAAUGAGAAUGGGAAUGUGUCGUGUUAACUUACAUGUUUGUAGUUAUUACAUUAUUAUUUUAAGAAUUUUCUUCAUUUGUUGAAUAAAAAUUUAAGAGUUUAAAAUGAAGAACUUGGUUUGAAAAUUUCUUUUAUAUCUUGAAGCAAGAUGGAAGUUUAAUUUUAUUUUCAGUGGGGUGACUGGUGGCUGUGAAACGAGGAGAUUCUUGAAGGGAUGAGACAUCGUUGGUAAACGAGUUACUCUUAUUUUCUUUUGUUUUAGGGGCUGUCAUAAAUAUAUUGAGCGCUUGACAGCCAUGUUGCUUUGAAUAUGUGAAGCUGAGGGUGGGUAGCUCAGAGGUGUCAUUAACAUCUAAGACACCGAGUGCAUCGAAAGGACGAGUAGGUAAAUCAGUCCAAAAAUUCUAGGUUCAUCUUCGAGCAUUUUUAAUUUUUUUUUGUAUGUAACGUAGUUUAAUUUUUCAGUCCGUUUUGUCUGUCUAUGUCUAUUUUUUUUAUUUCAGUCCUAGUUUGUUUUUAACUUUUGAAAUUUUGGUUUCUUUUGAUUAGGUAGUAAUUUUUUUUUUCGUUGUUAUUUUUUUUUUUUUUGUAAACAGGCAUGAAAUUAACACGGUAGUCCGGCAUGGCAGGCCAAAGAACCCACCCCGCAUCCGGCGAGCUUCAGCAAGCAAACAAGUAUGCCUGGCCUGGUCCUAGCCUACCGGACACUCUUCUAUCCGCAUUUUUGUGUAGGAUCUGUACCUACAGGAUAGAAGAGUUAAUAAAAAUUUUAAUACCGUUACAGAUGGCGCCCAACGUGGGGCAAUAUUUCUUUAAGGGUACCUUUAUACUCUUUAGAUUUUUGCUCUAAUUUUUUUUUGCCGGUGUUCAAUUAAUUCUUGGAAUUUUCUAUUCGGUUCAUAAUUUUUUUUCUUUUCUUUCGCGAUUUAAUGUUUAAAAUUUUAAUUUUUUUUUUACAUGUUUGGAGAUGAACAAACAAUUUUUGUUUUCCUCGGGCAAUGUUUCUUAUUUUGGAUUCUCUGUCCAACAAUAGAUAUAAGACACUGUUUUUGUUGCUGAGUUUCUGGGUUUUUGACCAUUGUUUGAGGAUAGGGAAUUUCAGGUGUCUUUCAUUGGAAUUUCAUCUGAUCAAAUUGCUCUUGAUUUUCUCUACAAGGUUUAAGAGUUUGCAAGUUUAUGUGGCUACUGUCCGGGAGAGGAGUUUUGACACCUCUUCGUCAGUUGCUGUGGACGCAUCCUUGGAAUCUGUUGAACUAAUUCAAUUUUUAGCUUGAUGUCCUUAUGAUGAAAGCUUGAUUUUUGCUGUCGGGAUUAGGGAAUCGUAGUAUCUAGUCGUCUGUUGCUUCACUAACUUUUGCAAACAUCAUAAGAUGCAUUUGGUUGAAAAUUGAAUCUGAUGAGCUGAAACUUCUUUCGAUGCACAAAUGGUUCUCUUUCUUUCGGGAUCUCAAAGUUCUAAGGAGCCAUUAGAUUCUUUGAUUUUCUAGGAAAAUUUAAUUUUUUUUCUUUGUCUUUCAAUAUUCAGUAUCAAGUUUUCAAAUUCUAUCUUCACUUUUUUCUUUGUUGUUUUUCCUUUCACGCGUAAUAUUCAUUUUUGUUGUUGUUUUUUUUUUUGUUCAAUAUGGAGAAUUUGGAAGACAACAUUGGUGGGCUGUUUUCAAAUUCGAGAAAAUCUGCUCCUGGAGCAAUCGACGAACUUCCUCACAGUUCAAAUGGUUAAGCUGCAAGUAGAUUUUCUACAACCAACCCAUUUUCAGGAUUUAGAGGGUACAAAGAUGCUAAAUAUCCCCAAGAGAUAAAAGACGUUCUUAAAGAAAAGCGAAAAGCGCGCAAAAAAUGGCAACAAACUCGUGCUCCUCAACAGAAAUCUAAUCUAAAUCACUUAAGUAAUUUACUUAAAAAGAUGAUAUCAGAUUUCAAGAACCGCGAAGCUAAAAAUUACCUUGAAAAUUUGACGGCAGGUAAAGAAUCUAACUACUCUCUAUGGAAAGCUAUAAAAGCCACGAAAAAACCUAAGAUUCCAGCACCUCCGAUUAUGAAAGACCAAAAUGAAUGGGCAAGAAGCGACAAAGAGAAAGCAAACGUUUUCGCUGAUUACCUAGAGGAAACAUUCAAACCAUUCAAUGGGCAAGCAUUGAAUGAUAGUAUAAAUAUGAAUAUAACGUCAAGUGAAAGCUUCAUCACAAGAAAUGUUACGCUUGCCGAAUUAAACAAAGAAAUUAAGAAGCUAAAGUCAAAAAAAGCUCCAGGAUACGACUUAAUUACUGCGGAAAUUCUUAAAAUGCUCCCACGGAAAAGUUUAAUAAACCUCAUAUACUCUUAGGUUAGAAUAUAUUCCAAACCAAUGGAAAGUCGCAGAAGUAAUAAUGGUGUUGAAACCUGGCAAACCAUCACAUGAAAAGAAAUCAUACAGACCCAUUUCACUGCUUCCUGUAGUAUCAAAGGUUUUUGAGAGAAUAUUUUUGCAGUGCCUCCAGCCAAUAAUAGAAGAAAAAGGUCUUAUACCUGAACACCAGUUCGGUUUUAGAAGCAAGCACUCGACGAUUGAUCAAGUACAUAGAAUCACCGAUGUCAUUGAGAAAGCUCUUGAAGAAAAGAAAAUUUGUUCAGCGGUCUUUUUAGAUGUGUCUCAAGCUUUUGAUAAAGUAUGGCACGAGGGUCUCAAAUUCAAGUUAAGACAAGUCCUACCUGAAGGACUCUUUAUCAUUCUUAGAGAAUAUCUAGAGAACAGAAUUUUUCGCGUUAGGCACGGAAAUGAUUACUCAGACUUUAGGGAAAUAGUGGCUGGGGUACCACAAUGUAGUGUUUUAGGUCCCAUUCUGUACCUUCUAUUCACACGCGAUAUACCUCAAACAGAAAACACAAUUGUAGCUACUUUUGCUGACGACACCGCAAUACUUGCAGUAGGCAAAACAAUUAACGAAUCGACAAGUAAAUUGCAAAAUGCUCUUAACAAUGUCAAUGAAUGGACACAAACAUGGCGAAUAGCGCUUAACGAAUUUAAGUCAGUCCACGUGGACUUUACAUAUAAGAAAAUAAAUAGACUACCUGUUUUUAUUAAUACUACUCAAGUCCCAUUUGCAAACGAGGCAAAUUAUCUCGGGAUGACUCUCGACGCGAAAUUAAAAUGGAAACCGCAUGAUAAAAAUAAAUGUGAUCAGUUAAAUAUUAAGUUAAGAGAAAUGUACUGGUUGCUCGGACAACAUUCUAGACUUAGUAUCGAAAACAAAUUAUUAGUUUACAAGCAGGUACUAAAGCCUGUCUGGACAUACGGUAUUCAACUCUUGGGUUGUACCCGCGAUACAAAUUUAAAUAGAUUACAAACCUUUGAAAAUAAAUUAUUAAGAUCAUUUGUAAAUGCGCCGUGGUAUAUAAGAAACGAAGAUCUUCACAGGGAUCUUGGAAUCCCCACGGUUCGCGAAGAAAUAAAAACGUUUGCCCAAAAACAUCGAAAACGGUUAGUCGAACAUACUAAUAGAACAAUACUAGAAAUACUCGACGAGACAAACUUAGUACGACGUUUGCGAAGGACUAAACCUUCCGAUUUGGUACAGUGAAAUUUUUCAAUUUAAUUCCUUUAUUUCAAAAUAUCGGCAUUGAUUAAUAUAAAUUUAAAUGUUUUAGAUAUUUUAUUUGUUUAACUUCCUUUAAAGUAUUUUUUUGAUAACAAAAUUUAAACCAUUACUUAAAUGAUUUAAUUUAAAACAAAUGUUAUUUAUUUAUUUUUAAAUAUCAUCAGUCGGAACUUUCAUCGCAAAGUUACCUACAACACGUAACUUAACUUCGAGAAAGAUAAAUUGCUAGAUAAGUUCCAUCUGAAUUUAGUUGCAAUCGGGAGGAGGAGGUGGUUUUAGUGGAUAAGAGUCCCACAUAUCUAUGAGCACGCGUUUUCCGGGCCUCAUAGAAUCUUUUGAAGAUUUCAACACCUACCCACGGACAAAAAAAAAACAAAAGUGUUUGGAUUGUUGCAGAACAUUAUUUUAUUUUGCAAAUAUGUGUUUUGUGACAACAUUUAAUUUUAAUGCAAAGAAAAUUUAUUGUUGUUUAUAAUACUCUACAGUACAUUUGUACUUAAUUAAAUUCAAUUUUGCAAUAAAAAAUUAAUGCAUUUUAUUUGAUUUGAGCAAAUAUUUUUAAAUAAUUUGUAAUCUAUUUUCAAAAUAAUUUAGGGUUUUAUUUUGAAUUUAAUUUAAAUAAUUGGUGUUUUAUUUCGAAAUAAUUUAGAAUUUAGAAUUCGAAGAUUGAUUCAAGAUUUUUUUUAUUUUUAAUUGUUUUACAUCGAUGGAAUUUGGGUUUUUGAUGAUUUGUUUUUGCCGGUUGGCUUUUAUUUUGAUUUUAAAUUAUUGUGGUUUCUACGGUAAAGUGUUUUGGCGGUAGAGGGCAUAUUUGCGAUUGUUCGCUUUAUGUAUCCGUUUUUUAUUUUCACGGUGACAAUGUAGUCGCUCAUCCUUAAGAGGAAUCAAAUCGCCAGUCUUCGACAAUUUCUUUAUUUAGGUCCAUUUCGGACGCAGCUGGUGUCGGGAAAGAUCAUCUAUGCGUUCGGAUAGUGGGCAUAAGGGUCUCGAUUUUAAACACGCUUUUCUUUGUGCUAGAAGCGAAGCGAGCUCCUCAAAGGUUAGCCUCUCCAUUCCUACACGGCGUUUCAAGUGGUACCUGACGGAUUUCACAGUCACUUCCCAUAUUCCACCUAAGUGGGAAGAAGCUGGGGGAAUAAAUUGCCAAGGUUUACCAAAAUUAGCUACGGUUGUCGCGAUAUCUUUCCAGGCAUGUUGUGCUUUAUGCAACAUCUUCGCUGCUUCGUUGUUAGCGUCAACCAAAUUUGACAUGCAGUCACUGUUGACAUGCUGGCAUCUUCCUCUUCUUUUAGUUAAUCGGCGGAAUGCGGCCAAAAACGCCUGGGUUUUCAAAUUUGAAACCACUUCCAUAUGAAUUGCUUUCAUUGCCAAACAAAUUAAGAAACAAAGAAAAUAAACAAAUAAACAAAUAAAGAAGAAAUAAUGAAAAGCAGUGGCCGAAACCGGAUCAAUUGCAUUUAUUUCUUUAAUAUGGCUCACCUUUGAACGGCAGCUCACUUCAAAACGCCCGUCAGGUAAGCGCCUAGUGUGUUUUGCAAAAUGCUCAUCGCAAGCAAUGUUGUCAAGGGUUUCAUGUGUCUGGAACGGCAUUUCUUCCAUCUCACAAGUUUUCUCCAUCGGUGAGCUUAACUCCGCAAUUUGGAGAAAGCUACGUACUUGCCGGGGAAUUUCCGCUGGAACUUUCCCUAACACGAUCCACCCUGAUUGCGUAUUUUGCGCGAUCGGGCCGAUACCAUCUAGCGGCCUGGGAGCAGGCUCGUAGAGAUGGGGAUCUGUUAACGAGAGACCAUCGAGAUGUUUCCAUUGGCCAGGUAUCACGCGUUGGGUCGGGAGAUGGCCAGUCAGCGACUUGAAGACCAAUGCCUGAAUGGCAAUCUCAAACUUCGAGUGGUGGGAUGCAAAACGUACUUCGACGGAGUUCUGCGUUGUGCCGCUGCUGACCAACCCUAACCCAGAUACCUCGACCAUGGUACGCCGCUUUUCUAGCUUCAGCAGUUGUGCAGCAGCUUCAGUAAUGAAAGAUGUUUCUGACCCAGUAUCGAUCAGAGCACGUAAAAGGCUUAGCCUGCCAUCUGCACUUCGGGCCUUAACAACUGCUGUCGCUAGAAGCGACUACGUGUCGUAGUUAAAAGUUUGUCCAUUAAAUGGCUGGACUUGUUGUUGUUGUUCACCCAUUGGCUGGAACUCAGGCGCGUUUGGAUUCACGGACACCUGAAACGCAUUCGAGCUGGGUAUUUUAGCCUGAGCUGAAUUAGCUGCAGGUUGUGGUUGUUGUUGUGGUGUGUGUAUGCUAAGAGUUGGCUGAAUAAUAUGCAGCAAUGUGUUGUGUCGUUGUUGACAGAAAUGGCAGAUACUGGAACUGGGGCAUUCGUGGAGAGAGUGUCUAUAAGAAAGGCAAUUUUCGCAGACCUUUAACCUACGAACGACAUCUCUUCGUCGCACAAUGUCCAUAUUCAGGAACUGCUGACAUCUUUUCAACGAGUGCUUCUCCUGGUUGCAUAGCUUGCAUACCAAUUGCUCCAGCACAAGGAAAGUCUUCGACUUUGCAGGCUGAAAACGUGGCUUGGUGUUGACGGGUAGCUCAUUCUUGUUUCGGCCUGCUGCACCAGGUUCCUGUUGGCCCACAACCUUAAGAGUCCGGAAACGUGUCUCCAAAAACUCGCUUUUGACUAGUACUGGGAAGUUUCUGAAAAAUGAACCAGAUCAACACUGUGUCCCAGCUAGACACCGGAACGUCCAUAUUUUCAAGAGCAAGGCAGCAUUCUCUUGUAGUGUACAAAAUGUCUUGAAGCCCAGAAGCAGUUUCAUGAGUCUGAGAAGGUUGGCCAAAAAGAGUUUGCAUUUGGAUAUGCACCAGAAUGCGUUCGUGGUCAUAACGCUCCACUAAAAGCUUCCAAGCCUUCUCAUAACUAGCUUCUUCCACCGAAAUGUUCUGCAGAAACCGAUUGGCAUCGCCAAUUAAACAGGACUGCAAAAAAUGCAGUUUAUCGAUAUCUUCUAAGUUCUUGUUAUUAUGAACGAAAGCUUGGAAACGAUCGUGGAAACCACGCCAUGUGACAUACGAUCCGUCAAAUUUUGGAAGAUCUAUGCGAGGGAGUCGGAUCCCCGAUUGCGAUGAUGUUUGCGCUGUUGGUGCCUGAGUACACCCACUUAAAGACGCCCCACUGAGUGGUGUUGAUUUUGCCAUUGCGUCUACCAACUCUGCCCGAUACUCGAGAAGAUAUAACAAAUAAAAGUAAUAUGUGCAGGACUUACUAAUUUGUCUGCUGCUGCUGCCGUCUUUUUGAAGAAAUAAUGUUGUUAGGCUGCGCUGACGGUUUUGAUUAUGACGACGCGCUCGGAUUUUUUUAAUUUGUAUCUUUAAGAUAUUUUGUUAAGUUUAAAUUAAGUAGAUUUUAAGAAACGUUUGAUUAUUCACUUAUUUAAAUGAUUAUUGUCAAUCCAAUUUAAAUUAAUUCGCGAAUUUUCAAUUUGUUCUUUUUUCUUAAUUAUUUGCACACACAGCACACACUUAAUUGUUUUUAAAUGUUUAUAAAAUGUUUUUUAAUUGUUUAUAAAAAGGCUCGAAGGACCAAUGAAUACGCCUAGUUUUUUAUUUAAAAAAUAGUAAAAAAAAAUUAAAUUUCAAUUUCCAACUUCUGUAAUAAAACACAACCUUUUUGUAUGAGAAA